ACUGCAAGAACAGCUAUCGCGUUUUUUGAAACAUAAAAAUGAGGAAAGUCUGGACAGCAAAGAGCAAACUGGCAGAUAACAACUGCUCUUGAGCAAUCGAGAAGCUAGUGCCACAGAAAAUAACCGUCCCUUCAAUUUAUUGACGAGAUAAGGGUGAAAACGUGAGGUAAGAGCUCACGGGUUUUUAUGGUAACAUAAAAGCAGGGUAAACCUCAGUUGCUGUAAUGCCAAAUAGGCAAACGUUUGAGAGCGGCUCGCUUAAGUUUGUGGGUAGGCAGCAAGAUUUUGUUGGCGACAACAAAACAAGAUAAAUGAUAGCUUAGAUACAGAAUCCGGCUUAUGAACUUGCAGUAAUU
rnacentral:RNase_P_RNA from 1 species